GUGCCGGCGUCGGCAGGAGGCGGGACCAGGGCGUGGGCGGGGUCAAGUCCGGGAAGCCGCAGGAGGCGGACUCAGGCGCAGCACCCAGCGCCGUGGUGUGAUGCAACAAGAAAGCCCUCACCAGAUGGCUAAGCAGAUGCUGGCACCAUGCCCUUGGACUUCCCAGCCUCCAAAACUCUAUUGUUGGAGUGUCAUAUGGGCAUCUCUCUCAUCUCCCAGAUCGAUGGCAUCGUCUAGGACUUCCCACAUAGACAAGAUAAACGAAAG